GACGAACGCUGGCGGCGUGCCUAAUACAUGCAAGUCGAACGAACUCUGGUAUUGAUUGGUGCUUGCAUCAUGAUUUACAUUUGAGUGAGUGGCGAACUGGUGAGUAACACGUGGGAAACCUGCCCAGAAGCGGGGGAUAACACCUGGAAACAGAUGCUAAUACCGCAUAACAACUUGGACCGCAUGGUCCGAGUUUGAAAGAUGGCUUCGGCUAUCACUUUUGGAUGGUCCCGCGGCGUAUUAGCUAGAUGGUGGGGUAACGGCUCACCAUGGCAAUGAUACGUAGCCGACCUGAGAGGGUAAUCGGCCACAUUGGGACUGAGACACGGCCCAAACUCCUACGGGAGGCAGCAGUAGGGAAUCUUCCACAAUGGACGAAAGUCUGAUGGAGCAACGCCGCGUGAGUGAAGAAGGGUUUCGGCUCGUAAAACUCUGUUGUUAAAGAAGAACAUAUCUGAGAGUAACUGUUCAGGUAUUGACGGUAUUUAACCAGAAAGCCACGGCUAACUACGUGCCAGCAGCCGCGGUAAUACGUAGGUGGCAAGCGUUGUCCGGAUUUAUUGGGCGUAAAGCGAGCGCAGGCGGUUUUUUAAGUCUGAUGUGAAAGCCUUCGGCUCAACCGAAGAAGUGCAUCGGAAACUGGAAAACUUGAGUGCAGAAGAGGACAGUGGAACUCCAUGUGUAGCGGUGAAAUGCGUAGAUAUAUGGAAGAACACCAGUGGCGAAGGCGGCUGUCUGGUCUGUAACUGACGCUGAGGCUCGAAAGUAUGGGUAGCAAACAGGAUUAGAUACCCUGGUAGUCCAUACCGUAAACGAUGAAUGCUAAGUGUUGGAGGGUUUCCGCCCUUCAGUGCUGCAGCUAACGCAUUAAGCAUUCCGCCUGGGGAGUACGGCCGCAAGGCUGAAACUCAAAGGAAUUGACGGGGGCCCGCACAAGCGGUGGAGCAUGUGGUUUAAUUCGAAGCUACGCGAAGAACCUUACCAGGUCUUGACAUACUAUGCAAAUCUAAGAGAUUAGACGUUCCCUUCGGGGACAUGGAUACAGGUGGUGCAUGGUUGUCGUCAGCUCGUGUCGUGAGAUGUUGGGUUAAGUCCCGCAACGAGCGCAACCCUUAUUAUCAGUUGCCAGCAUUAAGUUGGGCACUCUGGUGAGACUGCCGGUGACAAACCGGAGGAAGGUGGGGAUGACGUCAAAUCAUCAUGCCCCUUAUGACCUGGGCUACACACGUGCUACAAUGGAUGGUACAACGAGUUGCGAACUCGCGAGAGUAAGCUAAUCUCUUAAAGCCAUUCUCAGUUCGGAUUGUAGGCUGCAACUCGCCUACAUGAAGUCGGAAUCGCUAGUAAUCGCGGAUCAGCAUGCCGCGGUGAAUACGUUCCCGGGCCUUGUACACACCGCCCGUCACACCAUGAGAGUUUGUAACACCCAAAGUCGGUGGGGUAACCUUUUAGGAACCAGCCGCCUAAGGUGGGACAGAUGAUUAGGGUG
rnacentral:rRNA from 1 species